rnacentral:lncRNA from 1 species
UUGAUUUGUUUUAUAUGUUCGUAAUAUAUAAUUACAUAUUGUAUUAUUUUGUUUAAGUAUUUGUUCGUUUGACCAAAAAAGAAAGUGUUUGUUCGUCUGAUCAUGUAUAUCAACACGAGCACUACUGGUGGGGCAAAUGUCAGCCACGCAAUUAAAGGGAGGUGAAAACCCCACUCAAAGGUGUUGGCCGGUGUGCAAUAACUUAUCCCUUCCAUGUUUAUCACAAAAUCACAACAAAUAUGCGUCAGCAUCUUCAAUUAGAACUCUUUUAAUUAAUAAACCUAAAUUUAAACCGCAAGUGAGCCUGAUUAGGAGUAUAUAUAUCACCGCAAUAGCUAGUUUUUUAAAAAAAAAAAAAAUUUUACGGGAGUACAUAUAAAUUUAGAUGAGGUCUAUUUCAUUUUCUAGAGCUUACAUCAAAUAAACCGCCAAAUACGUAGCAGAAUUUAUGAAUUUUGUUAUACUCGGAUCUCUCCUGACUGGUAGUUUUUUUAAACAAGAUUGAUGUAAAAUAAAUAUAUGUUAGAUACGGUCCUUAUGUUAAAUGUGUAAAGUUCUAAUGUAAUGUGUGUUGGAUCUAUAUCCUAGUCCGUCACAAUUGUAAAGUGCAGUUCAUUAUUACGAUUCAC